rnacentral:tRNA from 1 species
UAGGAUAUAGCUCAGAGGUAGAGCACUUUCUUAGAAUGUGAGAGGCCCUGGGUUCAAUUCCCAGGAUUACAA